AGACUUACCAUUUUACCACAUCAAACAAUGAAGCAUCAACCAAAACCACUACCUGCUUAAAGUGAGGUGAGAACAGAGGACAGCUCUUCCCCAGGUUUCCCAUGCUCCACUGCCUGAGGCGUCUAUCAAGCUUGAUUGUAUGAGAGGGCUCUGCAGGGCAAGUUCUAUCUUAAACAAGUCUUAUAGCAAGCAACCAAGGCAAAGUAAUAGGAUCCGCACAAAAUCAUCUUGAAAUUUUACACUUUCAAGCUGACAACUUGAAGAAACAUUAAUCCCAUAUUUUUAAAAACCUUCUCAGAAAUUUUCAGCAGUAAAAAUAAACAAACAGCUCUGCUCUAAACUUUAACACCUUUCCCUAAAACCCAAACAGAACAGUGGUACAGCUGUCAAUAAAAUCCAGCAGGAAAAAUGAACAAGUAAAGAAGCAGGGCCGGGUGUGGUGGCUCAUGCCUGUAAUCCCAGCACUUUGGGCAGCCACGACGGGCAGAUCACCUGAGGUCGGGAGUUCAAAACCAGCCUGACCAACAUGGUAAAACCCCGUCUCUACUAAAAAUACAAAAUUAGCUGGGUGUGGUGGCACCUGCCUGUAAUCCCAGCUACUCGGGAGGCUGAGGCAGAAGAAUCGCUUGAACCCAGGAGGCAGAGGUUGCAGUGAACCAAGAUUGUGCCACUGCACUCCAGCCUGGGCGACAAGAGCAAAACUCGUCUCCAAAAAAAAAGAAAAAAAAGAAGCAACUGUUGCUGCUGCCUAUUAACUUUAGAUGAAUAUGUGGUUACUGCUCAUCGGCCUAACCACUUUAAUGUGGAAUACACUGGGCUAUACCGUACUCUACAUUUACAGUUCCUUCACUAUCCUAAAGAAACAGUAUGCCUAUCUUCUAAAUCUACUCAUGAUGACUUCACUAAACUUAAAAGGAUGCUAUAUACAACAAGCAAAUAUUUCAUUGUAACCUUUCCCCUCAGCUGCUUAAUAAUUCCCUUUAAGAAUCUAUUUCAACAAUGUA